UACAGAGGGUGCGAGCGUUAAUCGGAAUUACUGGGCGUAAAGCGUGCGUAGACGGUUAUCUAAGUCGGAUGUGAAAGCCCCGGGCUCAACCUGGGAAUUGCAUUCGAGACUGAAUAGCUAGGGUGCGGUAGAGGGAAGCGGAAUUUCCGGUGUAGCGGUGAAAUGCGUAGAUAUCAGGAAGAACACCCGUGGCGAAAGCGGCUCUCUGGAACGGUACUGACGCUGAGACGCGAAAGCGUGGGGAGCGAACAGG
rnacentral:rRNA from 1 species